UUUUGUUUUGUAAGACCCCCUUUCGGGGACCCCCACUCUAGUCUUGGGAGUGAGAGAGCACCCAAAAGAACAUGAGAAUCC
rnacentral:pre_miRNA from 7 species